rnacentral:lncRNA from 1 species
CCAAAAGUAAAAGGGUUAGAAAAAUGUGAGUAAAUAUCUGAAUGGACAUCUGUCUAUUUUCUGUUAAAAAGAUGCUUUUCCCUAAAUUUUAGGGGUUGUAUUCAUCGGAAUGAUUCCCUCACCCUUUCCUAUAUAAGACCUCACCUUCCUUCACUCAUACACACAUUAAUUCCUGCAUUUUCAGAGAUAUUCCUCUUGACUGAUCUUUAUUCUAAUCUUCUCACAAUGAUUCUGGAAUUCUAGCCUUUCAAUUUCAUAAAAUAUCAGAAAACUCAAAAAAAAAAAUUAGUUAUCUUUGUUCAUUGGUAUUGGGCUUCAUCUUUCUGGUUUCUAAAGCUCAAUUUAACUUCAAUCCCUGUUAUUUGUUGAUGUGUUGUCGAGCUAUUGGUUGAAUCUGGGUUCUGACUACGUUUCUCCAAAAUCAGAGAUUUAUUUUCUCUUUUCUCUGUUGUGUUUUUACUGCUAUUAAGGUAUUGAUUUUACUCUUAUAGAUGUAACAGCGUUGGAAUGCCAUAAAUAUCAUCAGAUUUGCACCCAUGGAUUGACUACAUGCUUGAUAAAUAUUCUGUAAAGUAAUCUGGUCAUUUAUUUGCUUUCUUUGAAUAUCUUCUGUCAUGUCUAUUUGUGAGUAGAACUGGAUCUGAAAUUUCAACUAUAGUAGUAGUCUAAAUCUGAACAUAAUUGUUAAUGUUGUAGUCAUCAUGGAACCUUUUUUUUGGUUGCGUUAUUUUGAUCAGUUAAAAUGAAGUUAGAACUGAGAUUUUUAGGUUGGUUUGAAGCUGAAGAAACACCCAUAUCCAGCAGUAUAGUAGUGACUAAUGCCAUAUAAACUUGAUAUUUUGAAAAAAAGUCUAGUAAAGUUCAUUUGUGUAAUGAUGUAUGUAUGAUUAUGUUUGGGACUUGAAGUUUGUUUUUCUGCAUAACUGAUGUAAAAAAUGAGUUUUAAAAAUAGCCUGUAAUAACUCUUUUCAUUGAUAAUUGCAAAUGAGCACGGCGCCAAUGAAAUGCUGCUCAUAUUAGGCAUUUUCUCGACUAUUUGCAUCCUUGUAUAAAUUAAAAUACUCAUGUGAGUUUAUGAGGGAGACAUUUCCUUUCUUUUGUCAUUUGGGCUUCAGUUGAGCCCAAUUCUGGCAUGGCUCCAAGUUUUCUAGUUUAUGAGUUUCUUAAUGUUCAGAUUGAUUAUAAUUUAGUAUAGUAUCCUGAAUGGUUUCAUUUUCUGAAGAUAUGCCACAAUUAAUUACCUUUGAUUCAUAAGUUUUCAAUUGUGUCAAUACAUGGGAUUUGUGGUUGUAAUGAUGGGCUUGAUGGGCCAGCAAGCGCAAUUUCGCCUUUUCCAUUGAUAAACAGGGCAAUUGAGCUUCUUUAUGUUAGCUUCACCAAGAGCUUGGCCGGUUGAAACCUUCCAGGCCUAAACCUCGUGAGGAUUCGAUUAGGGGCCUCAUCUGGGCUAUAGUAACAAAGCCUAAUAGGUGUGAAAUUAACUUUAGGUUUCUUCCAUUAUCUUUUGUUGAAAAGCUUCUUAAAAUUGUUAAUAGUUUGGAUUUAUCCUGUCAUUGUUGAAUAGAAUUAAGGUCACAAUACUUAUUCUUAAAACGUUUCAUUUGAAGAGUUAUAUUUUUGAAGGGGUCCUUACUCAAUUUAGAUGAACGCUUCAAAUUUUUUUAUAAGAUGUCCAUAAUAUCUAGAUUUCAUACUUUAAACUUUGAACCUUAUAAAAUUAGAUAACUUUUUUUAAAAAAAAUAAAUAUUCGUAGCAAUGCUUUAGGCGCGUAAUUAAAUCAUCACGGCUAUGGGUACGGUUCUCGUGGCAUGAUCGUGAUACAUAAUCCCCAAUUCUGGUGUGCAUUUCAUGUGACCCGGCCAUAACUUCAAACAAUAAUAAUAAAAAUAAAUAUGUCGUAAAUCGCGGGUGCAUUUCAUGUGGCACGGUUUGCAAUGUGUACCAAAACAAUUAGUGUGCGACAUCACGGCUUAUUUAAAUAAACUCCAUAAUAAUUAAAAGCGGCUUAAAAGAUUAAAAAUGCACGAUAGUUUAAAACAUGUAACAACUCAUAUAAUUAGGCCAAUUAUUAAUAGUUGAGUGACCGUGCUAAAACCACGAAACUCGAGAGUGCUUCACACCUUUUCCCGGGGUAACAGAAUUCCUUACUCGGUCUGUGUUCGCAGACUUUAAACGAAGUCAAAAUUUCCUCGAUUUGGGAUUUAAAAUAAAUCAGUGACUUGGGACACCAUAAAUUAUUCCAGGUGGCGACUCUGGAAAAAUAAAUAAAUAAUACCAUUUUGAAUAAUGUCACUUCAAUUGAAAAAACUCCCGAUCCUCUAAGAAAAAGAAGGUGUGACAACAGCUUAAGAGUCCAUUUGGCCAAGCUGUCAAAAAUUACUUAUUUUGAAAAGUGCUUUUGAAAAUUAGCAAUUUGUGUUUGAUCAAUUUGUUUGAGAAGUACUUUUUGCAAAAUUUGAUAAGUAAAUUGUGUUUGGCCAAUCUUUUCAAAAACUACUUUUGAGCGCCAAACUACUAUAAAGUACAGUAAAAGUUUGUUUAUAAUUAGCGUUAUUUAAAAAGAGAAAUUUUAAAUUUUUAGUACAAAAUAAUUUAACUAAUUUUUAUUUUUAUUUUUAUGUAAUUAGAAUAUAAAAUGUAAAGUAAUAUGUAUUAUAGAUUUUAAUCAAUAUAAAAUAUAAGUAUGUAAAAGCAAUAAUAUUGGUAGGAACAUAUAUGCUUACAAGUUACAUGUAUGAAAAACACUAUUACUUCUUGAGAAAAUAACAAACUUGGUAGUAUUGCAUUAUGUCAAUUAUAUUAUAUGCAUGCACGCAAAAAAAGUACAAAUAAAAUACAAACUGGAGAUCAUAUAAUAUUGGUAUACUGUAAAAGAAAAAAAAUUAUACAUUAUAAAGAAAGUGCUUGAAUCUGGCGAUUAGCCUUAUUAUUUCAAAGAGUAAUAGGAGACGAAGAAAAGAAGAAACUACCGAAUGAGAAAAGAAGAGAUCUACUUAUAUUAGAGAGAUUAUUCAAAGUUGGAAUAAGAGAAAAAGAAUAAAAAUACGGUAAAAAUUGAAACAAGAAGAAAAGACGGUAGAGAAUAAAAAAAAGUAAAGGUUAAAUUAAUAAGGGAUAAUUUAGGAAAUAUAAUUUUGUGGUAAGGAUAUUUUUGUCUUGAAAACAUUAAUUUUCUGCUUCUGCUUCUUGAAAAAAAUUAGAAUUUGUAGCUUCUUCUCAAAAGUAGAAAAAUUAUUUGUGCUGUUAUUUGACAUGUCAAUCUGACUUCUUCAACUUAUCCUUUUAUGUGUCUUCAUUUGACUGGACACAAUAUGUAAAAAUGUGAAAAGCAUAUCUUACGCCAAAAGUGUGCAUACAUAUCAAAAAUACCAUUUGAAUCUUCUAGUUCUAAACAUGUCAUAUCAUUUUCAUAUUAGAGUGUCGUAAGAGUAAAAUGGGAGCAUUGGAGUUAAAAAUUUACUUAAUAAAGAAAGAUAACAUUCUUUCGGAUACAUAUUUAAAAGGAAAAAAAGGGGACAAAAACUGGAACAGAUGGGGUACUACUUUUUGAUAAUAUACAAGAACAUCACUGACAUGACAAUUCAUAAUCUCAUAUCGACAGUGUUUCACAUAACAAUUGUGCCCUGAGCCCUGUAGACGAAAGGUGCACACUCUAUCAAUUAUGGCGUGGACUACCAGGCAUCACAGUACAAAAACAUGGAGAAAACAAGAUCCUAACAUUGG